AUUGAACGCUGGCGGCAGGCCUAACACAUGCAAGUCGAGCGGAUGAAGGGAGCUUGCUCCUGGAUUCAGCGGCGGACGGGUGAGUAAUGCCUAGGAGUCUGCCUGGUAGUGGGGGAUAACGUCCGGAAACGGGCGCUAAUACCGCAUACGUCCUGAGGGAGAAAGUGGGGGAUCUUCGGACCUCACGCUAUCAGAUGAGCCUAGGUCGGAUUAGCUAGUUGGUGGGGUAAAGGCCUACCAAGGCGACGAUCCGUAACUGGUCUGAGAGGAUGAUCAGUCACACUGGAACUGAGACACGGUCCAGACUCCUACGGGAGGCAGCAGUGGGGAAUAUUGGACAAAGGGCGAAAGCCUGAUCCAGCCAUGCCGCGUGUGUGAAGAAGGUCUUCGGAUUGUAAAGCACUUUAAGUUGGGAGGAAGGGCAGUAAGUUAAUACCUUGCUGUUUUGACGUUACCAACAGAAUAAGCACCGGCUAACUUCGUG
rnacentral:rRNA from 1 species